rnacentral:misc_RNA from 1 species
GAUGAAGAACGCAGCGAAAUGCGAUACGUAAUGUGAAUUGCAGAAUUCAGUGAAUCAUCGAAUCUUUGAACGCAUAUUGCGCUCUCUGGUAUUCCGGAGAGCAUGCUUGUUUGAGUAUCAGUAAACACCUCAACUUCCAUAUCUUUUUUGAAAUGGGAGUUGGACUUGAGUGAUCCCAACGCUUUUCCUCACCGAAAAGUGGCGGGUUACUUGAAAUGCAGGUGCAGCUGGACUUUUCUCUGAGCUAUAAGCAUAUCUAUUUAGUCUGCCUAAAAAACAGAUUAUUACCUUUGCUGCAGCUAACAUAAAGGAGAUUAGUUCUUGUGCUGACUGAUGCAGGAUUCACAAAGACAGGCUUCGGCCGACUUUGUAAACUCGAUCUCACAUCAAGUAUGACUACCCGCUGAACUUAAGCAUAUCAAUAAGCGGAGGA